CUUCACUAUAGCUUUGCAUUGAUUUUGAGCAACCGAUGUGUAGGAUAGUUGGGAGACUAUGAAGUAGUGUCGCCAGGCAUUAUGGAGUCAACGUUGAAAUACCAACCUUCUGUUGCUUAGAACCUAAUCCCGCCGUUGGCGGGAGACAUUGCAUGGUGGGUAGUUUGACUGGGGUGGUCGCCUCCUAAAAAGUAACGGAGGCUUGCAAAGGUUCCCUCAGUACGGUUGGUAAUCGUACAUAGAGCGUAUUAGUAUAAGGGAGCUUGACUGUGAGGCACACAGGCCGAGCAGGGUCGAAAGACGGCUAAAGUGAUCCGGUGGUUCUGCAUGGAAGGGCCAUCGCUCAAAGGAUAAAAGGUA
rnacentral:rRNA from 1 species